rnacentral:rRNA from 1 species
CGAACGCUGGCGGCGUGCUUAACACGUGCAAGUCGAACGAAGAGCGACGGAAGCUUGCUUCUCUCAAUCUUAGUGGCGAACGGGUGAGUAACGCGUAAUCAACCUGCCCUUCAGAGGGGGACAACAGUUGGAAACGACUGCUAAUACCGCAUACGAUCUAAUCUCGGCAUCGAGGAUGGAUGAAAGGUGGCCUCUACAUGUAAGCUAUCACUGAAGGAGGGGAUUGCGUCUGAUUAGCUAGUUGGAGGGGUAACGGCCCACCAAGGCGAUGAUCAGUAGCCGGUCUGAGAGGAUGAACGGCCACAUUGGGACUGAGACACGGCCCAGACUCCUACGGGAGGCAGCAGUGGGGAAUCUUCCGCAAUGGACGAAAGUCUGACGGAGCAACGCCGCGUGAGUGAUGACGGCCUUCGGGUUGUAAAGCUCUGUUAAUCGGGACGAAAGGCCUUCUUGCGAAUAGUGAGAAGGAUUGACGGUACCGGAAUAGAAAGCCACGGCUAACUACGUG